UUUGCAGUGUCCAGGCUGGUAUGGCAGUGGUCGGUCGUGGCUGAAGUCUUUUCUCUUAACAACUUGUUUGUGGGCGUCCUUUUCUCACUCUCGGCCUGCUUCCACUGUGCAGAGAGUGUUCAUCACAAGAAGAAGUUUGCUCUGUGGGGGGCGCUCUUCUGUGGGCUGAGCCUGUGUAAUCAGCACGCACUGGUCUUGUACGUUGUCAUCAUAAUUCCCUGGGCCCUCCUGCACCUCUACACACAUAAUGGUUUGUCCUUCUUUGGUCUGGUGUCUUUGUGGACGUGCUUUCUGGCUGGCUUUGUGCCCUACGUCUACUUGCCCAUUUCCUCCUACCUCAACAGAGCUCGCUGGAGCUGGGGAGACCAGACGUCUCUCCACGGCCUCCUCACACACCUGCUCCAAGCUGAAUAUGGCACCUU